AAACCGAUACUUCUACCACACACAAGUUAAACUUAACCAGUAGUAAAGAAACGACCCCAGACAACUCUUUAACACAAACGAAACGUUUACUGAACGUAAGGGCAGAGACAAAUACUGUACAACACAUCCCUUUUUUAAACUCAAAUGAUAUUCCAAUUCCUUAACCAAAUGAAAUACACUGUAUAAAUGAAAUAAUUCCCUUUCAAAUUAUAUUAAACAACCCAACUUAUGUUAUCACCUUUUGGUAAGUGACUCACUAAUAUACACUCCAAAACACGUUAUAUAAAUCCACUAAACAUACAAUAUUCACACAUGGGCCCCACACACACUCACAUUCACACUUGUUGCAGGCCUGUUUGUUGCUCACGCCGGACGAUGGAGAAAAAUCCUCUUCUCCCCAGUAAGAGCACAAAAGUCUGACUUACAGUUCCGUUGCUCGGUAGGUCGCCGUGCACCAGUCCCACACUAAAUCCACUCCCUGCGGACCCGAUGCUGUCUCUGCUACAGCACGUUAGCGAGUCACUGUCCAGCUCUCCGACAGUCCAUAGCGGCUGCCUCCUUGGCGAAGCCAAGCAGUCCGGGCUAGCCUUUAGCCUCGGCGGUCGUAGCUGGAAACACAGUUUUCCACGGUGGUGCGACCGUUGAAACAAAAAGUCACUUCACCCACACUCUGUUGUGAAGCUCUCACACGGUCAGCUUUCUAGUCACACACUCUUUUGUGCUGGUUAACCUCAGUAAAACUAGCCGAGUCUCUCACUUUGGUUCAGCUAACCUCGUGCAUCUCCCCAUGCAAGGUCCCGUUUUAUGCUACCUUCACAGGCCUCCAGAAAAUUAGAACUCUGAACAAUAUUUUAACUCCCUUCAGAGUUACAUACCAUAAAAUAAUACUUUUAUGAUUAACAUAACAGUUUGAUUGCUCUAAUUACCUGUAUUUACCUUGCGACAUAUUACAGGGCAAAUUAUAUUCAGGGUAGAGUUACAUCACAUAACAUCAACUGUGAACGCCUUAUGUUACCGUGGCGUUUAAGUCCAUGGGAAUUAUGAGUAUCCACUUCCAAAUUC
ensembl:lncRNA